rnacentral:rRNA from 1 species
UCGAGNGGAUGACGGGGAGCUUGCUCNUUGAUUCAGCGGCGGACGGGUGAGUAAUGCCUAUCGUAAUCUGCCUGGUAGUGGNGGACAACGUUUCUNAAAGGAACGCUAAUACCGCAUAC